rnacentral:tRNA from 1 species
GGCCGGUUGGUCAAGCGGCUAAGACGCCGCCCUCUCACGGCGGAAUCAGGGGUUCGAUUCCCCUACCGGCUA